rnacentral:rRNA from 1 species
GGAUGCGAUCAUACCAGCACUAAUGCACCGGAUCCCAUCAGAACUCCGAAGUUAAACGUGUUUGGGCGAGAGUAGUACUAGGAUGGGUGACCCCCUGGGAAGUCCUCGUGUUGCAUCCCCCA